GGAAGGGUAGCGAAGAGGCUAAACGCGGCGGACUGUAAAUCCGCUCUUUCGGGUUCGGGGGUUCGAAUCCCUCCCCUUCCA
rnacentral:tRNA from 1 species